CCUACGGGCGGCUGCAGUGGGGAAUAUUGCACAAUGGGCGCAAGCCUGAUGCAGCCAUGCCGCGUGUGUGAAGAAGGCCUUCGGGUUGUAAAGCACUUUCAGCGGGGAGGAAGGCGGUGAGGUUAAUAACCUCAUCGAUUGACGUUACCCGCAGAAGAAGCACCGGCUAACUCCGUGGCCAGCAGCCGCGGUAAUACGGAGGGUGCAAGCGUUAAUCGGAAUUACUGGGCGUAAAGCGCUCGCAGGCGGUCUGUCAAGUCGGAUGUGAAAUCCCCGGGCUCAACCUGGGAACUGCAUUCGAAACUGGCAGGCUAGAGUCUUGUAGAGGGGGGUAGAAUUCCAGGUGUAGCGGUGAAAUGCGUAGAGAUCUGGAGGAAUACCGGUGGCGAAGGCGGCCCCCUGGACAAAGACUGACGCCCAGGUGCGAAAGCGUGGGGAGCAAACAGGAUUAGAUACCCGAGUAGUC
rnacentral:rRNA from 1 species